rnacentral:rRNA from 1 species
UGGGGAAUAUUGCACAAUGGGGGAAACCCUGAUGCAGCAACGCCGCGUGAAGGAAGACGGUUUUCGGAUUGUAAACUUCUGUUCUUAGUGAAGAAUAAUGACGGUAGCUAAGGAGCAAGCCACGGCUAACUACGUGCCAGCAGCCGCGGUAAUACGUAGGUGGCAAGCGUUGUCCGGAAUUACUGGGUGUAAAGGGAGCGCAGGCGGGAGACCAAGUCAGCUGUGAAAAGCUAUGGGCUUAACCUGUAGACUGCAGUUGAAACUGGUUUUCUUGAGUGAAGUAGAGGUUGGCGGAAUUCCGAGUGUAGCGGUGAAAUGCGUAGAUAUUCGGAGGAACACCGGUGGCGAAGGCGGCCAACUGGGCUUUAACUGACGCUGAGGCUCGAAAGUGUGGGGAGCAAACAGGAUUAGAUACC